ensembl:misc_RNA
UAGGGUGAGCGUACGAACUAAGAUGGCGGCGUUCGUGUGCUUCUGUGCUUACCGCAGUUGGCAAGGCCGCUACAGGAUAACUCUGCUAACGAGUGUUCAAGAAACUCGCCGGUUUAUGUGUGUGG